rnacentral:rRNA from 1 species
GACGAACGCUGGCGGCGUGCCUAAUACGUGCAAGUCGAGCGGACAGAAGGGAGCUUGCUCCCGGAAGUUAGCGGCGGACGGGUGAGUAACACGUGGGCAACCUACCCUGUAGAUCGGGAUAACAUCGAGAAAUCGGUGCUAAUACCGGAUAAUCAUUUGAAGUGCAUGCUUCGAAUGUAAAAGAUGGCUCCGGCUAUCACUACGGGAUGGGCCCGCGGCGCAUUAGCUAGUUGGUAAGGUAAUGGCUUACCAAGGCAACGAUGCGUAGCCGACCUGAGAGGGUGAUCGGCCACACUGGGACCGAGACACGGCCCAGACUCCUACGGGAGGCAGCAGUAGGGAAUCUUCCGCAAUGGACGAAAGUCUGACGGAGCAACGCCGCGUGAGUGAUGAAGGUUUUCGGAUCGUGAAGCUCUGUUGUUAGGGAAGAACAAGUGCCGUUUGAAUAAGGCGGCACCUUGACGGUACCUAACCAGAAAGCCACGGCUAACUACGUGCCAGCCGCCGCCGUAAUAC